CGAAGGAUGCAAGCGUUAUCCGGAUUCAUUGGGUUUAAAGGGUGCGUAGGCGGACCUGUAAGUCAGUGGUGAAAUCUCUUUGCUUAACAAAGAAACUGCCAUUGAUACUGCAAGUCUAGAGUAUAGAUGACGUUGGCGGAAUAUGACAUGUAGUGGUGAAAUACUUAGAUAUGUCAUAGAACACCGAUUGCGAAGGCAGCUAACGAAACUAUAACUGACGCUGAGGCACGAAAGUGCGGGGAUCAAACAGGAUUAGAUACCCUGGUAGUCCGCACCGUAAACGAUGAUUACUCGUUGUUGGCAAUAUGACCGUCAGCGACCAAGCGAAAGCGAUAAGUAAUCCACCUGGGGAUACGCCGGCAACGGUG
rnacentral:rRNA from 1 species